rnacentral:rRNA from 1 species
UACGAAGGGGGCUAGCGUUGUUCGGAAUUACUGGGCGUAAAGCGCACGUAGGCGGAUACUUAAGUCAGGGGUGAAAUCCCGGGGCUCAACCCCGGAACUGCCUUUGAUACUGGGUAUCUCGAGUCCGGAAGAGGUGAGUGGAAUUCCGAGUGUAGAGGUGAAAUUCGUAGAUAUUCGGAGGAACACCAGUGGCGAAGGCGGCUCACUGGUCCGGUACUGACGCUGAGGUGCGAAAGCUAGGGGAGCGAACGGG